UACGUAGGGGACAAGCGUUGUCCGGAAUCAUUGGGCGUAAAGAGCGUGUAGGCGGCCAGACAGGUCCGUUGUGAAAACUCGAGGCUCAACCUCGAGACGCCGAUGGAAACCGUCUGGCUAGAGUCCGGAAGAGGAGAGUGGAAUUCCCGGUGUAGCGGUGAAAUGCGCAGAUAUCGGGAAGAACACCCGUGGCUAAGGCGGCUCUCUAGUACGGUACUGACGCUGAGACGCGAAAGCGUGGGGAGCGAACAGG
rnacentral:rRNA from 1 species